GUGUUGUAUAAAAAGAGAGGUUAGCAUUCCCCUUGAUAAAGAUGUAAGAGGUUCUACUGGCCUUUACAAUAUACAUAUGGUUAAGGCACUGUCACCUACUCUGUGGCAUCUAAGCAUUUUUC
ensembl:snRNA